rnacentral:lncRNA from 1 species
AAAAGAAAGAAAGAGGAAAAAAAGCGACUUGGAUAACUUGUAUGCCUUCUUUUGUAUCAAUGUACCAAUUGUAAAUAAUGCUGAUCAACCUUUGUAGAGAAUAGUUUAUACAGCAUAUUCUAUUAUUGCUGAUUCUCAGUGAACUCUUGUUUUAAAAAAGGAAAAAAAGAAAUUUUCUAUUUACACCUUAUAUUUUGUUAUGCUGUUGGCCCAUGGCACUUUAACAAAACUCUGUGGGUUUAGGUAGCUGGUCAGUCAUGGGGUACAUUAAAUAACUGUUGUUGCACAGACAAGAAUUUGCACCUGCUCAUUUGUCCUUUCCUACUACCGAUUUUAGAACCUUUUCCAGAAGAAUUUUGAAGAAAGCAUGUCCAAUCAUUCUAAACAAAUGCCACACUUGUGGAGUGGGUUUCUUUUCUACGAUCCACAUUUUGUAACACUAAGUAUUUUCCUUCUUUGUCCCGCACCUUUAUGUAUUAGCACUAUCAGAUAGAAUUCAUUCCAUGCCUGUGAUAUUGUAAGCAGAAUAAAUGUAAGGAGGUGUAAAUAGUAAAUUAUAUGGCUUACAGUUUUAAAAAGAAAGAACAAAUAUGUAUCUAUUGAUACUGCCAUGGUUCAGCAUCAGGCCUGGAAAUAUUCUCC